rnacentral:rRNA from 1 species
CCGACGGUGAGAGGCGAAAGCUGGGGGAGCAAACCGGAUUAGAUACCCGGGUAGUCCCAGCCGUAAACGAUGUGCGUUAGGUGUAUCGGUGACCACGAGUCACCGAGGUGCCGAAGAGAAAUCGUGAAACGUACCGCCUGGGAAGUACGGUCGCAAGGCUGAAACUUAAAGGAAUUGGCGGGGGAGCACCACAACAGGUGGAGCCUGCGGUUUAAUCGGACUCAACGCCGGGAAACUCACCAGAUAAGACAGCUGAAUGAUAGUCGGGCUGAAGACUCCACUUGACUAGCUGAGAGGAGGUGCAUGGCCGUCGUCAGUUCGUACUGUGAAGCAUCCUGUUAAGUCAGGCAACGAGCGAGACCCCACGCCAACAGUUGC